GCGCGGGCGCGGACCUGCUGCAAGCUGUGCCAUGGGUCCCAUUUCCUGAAGAAAGCGUGUCUGUGAUGCCUGGCCUUUACACACUUUCAGCAAGCCUGAUCAACAAGAAGAGGCAUUUAACCUGUGACACACAUAGCAGCCUGCAAGCUCGAAGCGAUGGCCCGCUGUUAGAAAAGCAAAGUACUUGUUGCUAGAAUUGUCUUUAGGACUCAGGGCUGGGCACGUUUCACUGAUCUCAGUCCCAGAGGGAGGCUGACAAAACUUGGGAAGAAGGAUGCCCACUGAUAGCGGACACAAAAGAUGCAGAAUUUAGGGGCCAUGCGGACAUCUGCUGGAACUGCCAAGAUAAGGAAAGCACUCAUAAGUCAACAGUCCUAAGUAAAGUCAGCUCAGCAAAUAUGCAGAGAGGAGCACCAGCUGGGUAAGAAAGAGUGUGAUGUUUGCAGGCAACAGGACUUUGGCACCCAAAUUAUCCUGGGCGUGGCCACGGCAUGGUUCCGGUCAGGAGAAGACAUGGAAUGACGGCGCAGUGCAAGCGCUGGGCAUUGUGCUUCAAGAACCCAGAUGAAAAAGCUGGUGAGACUGUGCUGGAUUCUGGUAUGCUGCCUAACCAUUCUGUUACAGCUGUUGGAGUUAGUGGGGGAAGAUGUGUUGUCAUGUGGAAUAACCUCAUUUAUUUUGACAAAAAGCAGUCUUCAUGGUGUGAAGAUAAUGAUAAUGAACUGAAACCACACCAGAGAGCUUUGAAGGAAUUGUUUCGUGUAUCUGAUUUCUGAAAAGAUGAUCUGUGUAUUUGCUCAGGUCCUGCUAAACUUCUCUGCUGUGAUGAAUCCACACAGGACUCUUUCAAGCAUGCCAUGCUGGUUUGGAAGCCUUUGCACCCUGGCAGAACCUGCCAACUGAUGCUGCCCUGAAUUUCCAGGAGGGUGAGCAGAGGAGCUGUGUGAGGCAGGAGCAGCAGGCUGGUGCCUCCAGAAGAGCUGGCUGUGCUGCCCAUCCCGGAGCAGGAAUGCCACAAGUGCAGCCAUUCCCUCCAGGAACACCCAGCACCUGCGUCAGGGACACCGCAGAGGUGACAGAUGUGCAGCAGCCCCGGUGCCUGUAAAAAUACUAUAAAAAUACCAGCUGCUGUGCAAACACUGGGCUGCUUCUCUCUGUAAGUGUUCUUGAACAAAACCCUUCCCUGGGGGGUGCUCCCUGUGGGAGCGUGGCCGAGGCCAGGACUUCCAGAACUGGAGAGAUUCCCUGGCAUGAAGGAUCUCUUCACAGCCAGCACAGAACUGGAAAAUCCUAGAAUGGCCUGGGUUGGAAGCGACCUUAAAACCUAUCUCAUUCCCACCCUCCUGCCAUGGCAGGGAUACCUUCCACUAUCCCAGGUUGUUCCAAGCCCCAUCCAGCCUGGCCUUGGACACUUCCCAGGAUCCAGGGGCAGCCACAGCCUCUCUGUGCCAGGGCCUGACCACCCUCACAGGGAGUAUUUCUUCCCAAUAUCUAAUCUAAACCUACUUUCUGUCAGUCUGAAACCAUUCCCCCUUGUUCUGUCUUUCCAGGACCCUGUAAAAAGUUUCUUUCCAUCUUUCUUGUGGGCUCCUUGCAGGUACUGGAAGAUCAAAAUGGACUUUCUGUGCACCUAAGACAGAUUUGGACAGAGCUGUACUACUGAGCCCUCUAGGGCUAUUGGAAUCCUGGGAAAAUGGAAGAAGUAGAAAAUAAACUUUAAACCAGAG